AUUUAUAUAGUUUAUUUAAAACCUUAUAUUUUCAUUAUAAAAAAAGAUUUAUAUCUUAUAAAUA
rnacentral:tRNA from 1 species